AUUGAACGCUGGCGGCAUGCCUUACACAUGCAAGUCGAACGGUAACAGGUCUUCGGACGCUGACGAGUGGCGAACGGGUGAGUAAUACAUCGGAACGUGCCCAGUCGUGGGGGAUAACUACUCGAAAGAGUAGCUAAUACCGCAUACGAUCUGAGGAUGAAAGCGGGGGACCUUCGGGCCUCGCGCGAUUGGAGCGGCCGAUGGCAGAUUAGGUAGUUGGUGGGAUAAAAGCUUACCAAGCCGACGAUCUGUAGCUGGUCUGAGAGGACGACCAGCCACACUGGGACUGAGACACGGCCCAGACUCCUACGGGAGGCAGCAGUGGGGAAUUUUGGACAAUGGGCGAAAGCCUGAUCCAGCAAUGCCGCGUGCAGGAUGAAGGCCUUCGGGUUGUAAACUGCUUUUGUACGGAACGAAAAAGCUCCUUCUAAUACAGGGGGCCCAUGACGGUACCGUAAGAAUAAGCACCGGCUAACUACGU
rnacentral:rRNA from 1 species